UAGUCCACGCUGUAAACGAUGAGAACUAGAUGUUGGUAGGCAUGACCUAUUAGUAUCGAAGCUAACGCGAUAAGUUCUCCGCCUGGGGAGUACGGCCGCAAGGCUAAAACUCAAAGGAAUUGACGGGGGCCCGCACAAGCGGUGGAGCAUGUGGUUUAAUUCGAUGCAACGCGAAGAGCCUUACCUACCCUUGACAUCCAGAGGAUUUUGCAGAGAUGCGAAAGUGCCGAAAGGAACUUUGAGAC
rnacentral:rRNA from 1 species